rnacentral:rRNA from 1 species
AUCAACUUUCGAUUGGUAGGAUAGAGGCCUACCAUGGUUUUAACGGGUAACGGGGAAUUAGGGUUCGAUACCGGAGAGGGAGCCUGAGAAACGGCUACCACAUCCAAGGAAGGCAGCAGGCGCGCAAAUUACCCAAUCCCGACACGGGGAGGUAGUGACAAUAAAUAACAAUACGGGGCUCAUUUGGGUCUCGUAAUUGGAAUGAGUACAAUUUAAAUCCCUUAACGAGGAACAAUUGGAGGGCAAGUCUGGUGCCAGCAGCCGCGGUAAUUCCAGCUCCAAUAGCGUAUAUUAAAGUUGUUGCAGUUAAAAAGCUCGUAGUUGAACUUCGGGGUUUACCCAUUGGUCAGGCUUAAUUGUCUGCACUGGUGAGAUAAAUCUCUACCUUCUGAGGAACUUUCAUGCCAUUUAUUUGGUGUGAUGGGAAAUCAGGACUGUUACUUUGAAAAAAUUAGAGUGUUUAAAGCAGGCUAACGUCUGAAUACAUUAGCAUGGAAUAAUGAAAUAGGACGGACUGAUUCUAUUUCGUUGGUUUCUAGGAUCACCGUAAUGAUUAAUAGGGAUAGUUGGGGGCAUUAGUAUUCAAUUGUCAGAGGUGAAAUUCUUGGAUUUAUUGAAGACUAACUACUGCGAAAGCAUUUGCCAAGGAUGUUUUCAUUAAUCAAGAACGAAAGUUAGGGGAUCGAAGACGAUCAGAUACCGUCGUAGUCUUAACCAUAAACUAUGCCGACUAGGGAUCGGAUGAUGUUAAUUUUUUAAUGACUCAUUCGGCGCCUUACGGGAAACCAAAGUGUUUGGGUUC